rnacentral:rRNA from 1 species
GACGAACGCUGGCGGCGUGCUUAACACAUGCAAGUCGAACGGAAAGGCCCUGCUUGCAGGGUACUCGAGUGGCGAACGGGUGAGUAACACGUGGGUGAUCUGCCCUGCACUUCGGGAUAAGCCUGGGAAACUGGGUCUAAUACCGGAUAGGAGCCAUUUUUAGUGUGAUGGUUGGAAAGUUUUUUCGGUGUAGGAUGAGCUCGCGGCCUAUCAGCUUGUUGGUGGGGUAAUGGCCUACCAAGGCGGCGACGGGUAGCCGGCCUGAGGGGGUGGAUGGCCACAUUGGGACUGAGAUACGGCCCAGACUCCUACGGGAGGCAGCAGUGGGGAAUAUUGCACAAUGGGCGCAAGCCUGAUGCAGCGACGCCGCGUGGGGGAUGACGGCCUUCGGGUUGUAAACUCCUUUCGCUAGGGACGAAGCUUUUUGUGACGGUACCUAGAUAAGAAGCACCGGCUAACUACGUG